rnacentral:lncRNA from 1 species
UUUGCCCCGUAUUAGACGUUGAAAGAGGUGUUUUAAUUGUUGAUCGUAAAUGGAAACGAGCCUUUCUCCAAUUUUGCGAAAACCAUGAUGACUGUAAAGAGAGGUUGAAGAUAUUUGUCCACGAUAGGCAGGAAGCUUGGAGCUUUUUGCAGAUCAAAAAAUGUGAAAUACGAAUUAAGUCCGGAUGUAAAAGACGCGGAGCCGUGACAAGAACACCGCGAAAAUUGACUGAAUACUGUCGAAUGAAAAGCGUUAAGCUCAUCAGACCCGCAGAAGUCAAGUGGAGAUGAAGAAAUAGAAGGAGGGAGAACGAGGGGGAGGAGGAACAAAUUUCUUUGCUGAUAUUUUAAACAACAACAAUAAAAUCAUGGUCAUCAUUGACUAGACCAGUGUUUUUCAACCAUUUGGUCGCCAAGUCUUACUCGUGGAGGUCGUGGUUGUAAGCCAGGUAAAAGUAAAAUGCACAAACAAAGUUUUCCGAGGAAUCCUCUGAUUUUAAACAUCCUUUGAAAUCACUGACAUAGUUUCGUUACGUACCUGGAGGGUGGCCAGAUUUUUUCUACUUGCUAAGGGGUCGCGAAUUCAAGAACGUUGAGAAACACUGGACUUGGAUUAUAUCAUAACAACUACGUUUUCAUCAUCAUCUCAUUUAACAUAAGAUCAAUUACAUACUAUACAUACACACGCAAACAUAGCCUGAAUGUUCUUUAUUAAAUCUCAUCUGUAGAAACAAUCAAUAAACAACACGAUGUUAAUUAAUCAGCAAUCAUUUUCUAAUUGCGACACAUUUCUCUCGUUCUACGUUCUGUCACUUAUGAACCGCCGUAUAACCGACGUUAAGAAUCAACAGCAAUAAAUACACAAAGUUUCGUAUAAUUUAUUCAUCAUACCAUGUUUACAAACAAUAUAAACAACAGUGUAAAUCGUUGUUGCACGGCGGUGUGUAUAAAAUCACGACUACCACUCGCUGACGUUACAGCAGUCGUGUAACUUUGAACGCAUUAUUACUGCACGGCUAUAUUCAACCAGCUUAUACACCACCUUCAUGAUGAACAUCGAGCAAACAACCGUGAUCAUCCUUCGGUUACCCGAUGACCACAUUCACCAUCCCGCUAAAAGCACACCCGGAGUUGACCCUUGGUCAACCCCUCCCCCCCUCCUUCCCGCCCACCACCCAGCCUCUUUACCCUUCACCAUUGUCAAACUAUUCUGACCCUUGAAAGCCAGACCCAAGAGCCGCGCACCAUCGCCACCAUGAUUAGCAAUCCCAUCCUGCCUGCGUGAGGCGUUGCAUACUUAAAACUACGGACAGUGGGGAUCAGUGUACCUAGAGUGUAACAUACGAGUGAUUCGCGUUCACCGAUUUUAGGGCCCGGUAAUCCGUCGCGGAAUGGGCCCAAUCAACCCUUUCGGUCACAUGUUGUUCAACUCGAUAUUUUCGCCCUAGUAUUGUUACUCGGGGGGUUAUUGGGGUCGCUGAUCACGAAUCUGAAGUCGGAAUUUGAUUAUUACGAAAUAAAAGAUGGCGGUAACGAAGUGGCGGAUGAAAAAUCGCAGAAAAAAAAAAUAAAAAAAACUAUCAAAAUUCGAUUAUUCUGGAUGAAACUUGUUACUAGGAGGUUUUUGGGGUUACACGAAGUAAAAUGGAUCAUUUGAAAUUGUAAAUAAACAUUUCGGUGGGACGCUGGGUAUCCGACUGUAACUGAAAGGGUUUUAAACCCACUGGAUUUUACCCGAAAAAUUGUGUCGGAAAGAAAAUGUUUCUUUCUCAUUUGAAUAAUGUUUCUUUUUGUAAAAAAGGUAAAAAUCGUAUAUUUUCAGAUAACAUGUGUUCAUUAAGUAUUGUGAAAAGUCUGAAUAAACGAUUGACCUUGCAGCAACUGUA